CCUACUUUUCACGUGGUGAAAUCAUACUUCAUACCUACUACUUCAAUUAAUGGAAUUUAACAACUAUUCUAAUGCCAUUAUGAGAUUCUUUGAGUAAUAAGUUGCAACUCUUUUGCAGUAAUUUUUGAGCAAGUUAUCAACCGUCACUAGAGCAAGUGGUAAAGGACUUGAUGGUUGGUACUCAAGAUCCAAGUUCGAAUCCUAGUUGAUUCAUAUUUCUAGUUAAAUUUAUUUCUAAAUGAAAUAAACGAAGUGGAUAGCGUGCUACCUAUCUCAAAAAAAAAAAAAAAGAAGUAAUUUUUGAGCAAGUUACACUUUUACCAAUCAAAAUAGUGCCACUGAUCAUUAAAAAAAGUGCUAUAUGUACACUCUAUAUUGGAGCUUAUGGUGUAUAUAUCUUACACUUUUUGGAUUCAACAAUUUAUUAUUAUUUUUUUAUUUUUUAUUUUUAAUAUUUAAAAAAAAUACUUCUAUUAAAUAUAAAUACUAAAAUUAUCACUUUCUGGUGACCUAAUUUUUAAAAAAUUAACGAUUAUUUGAGUAAAAAAAAAAUCUUAAAUUCGAAUUCCGUCAGGCACCUACCAUUAUUUAUUCUUUGAAAAUAAUUUGUGA
rnacentral:lncRNA from 1 species